CGGCGGACGGGUGAGUAAUGUCUGGGAAACUGCCCGAUGGAGGGGGAUAACUACUGGAAACGGUAGCUAAUACCCCAUAACGUCGCAAGACCAAAGAGGGGGACCUUCGGGCCUCUUGCCAUCGGAUGUGCCCAGAUGGGAUUAGCUAGUAGGUGGGGUAAUGGCUCACCUAGGCGACGAUCCCUAGCUGGUCUGAGAGGAUGACCAGCCACACUGGAACUGAGACACGGUCCAG
rnacentral:rRNA from 1 species